GCCGGCGUAGCUCAACUGGCAGAGCAUCCGCCUUGUAAGCGGAAGGUUCGGGGUUCGAGUCCCCGCGUCGGCU
rnacentral:tRNA from 1 species